UGGGUAACAAUAAUGCUGGAAACAUGGCUUUCAUGUUAGGGAAGCAGCUUACAAGCUGUGUUUCUUCGCAUCACGGAAGAGGCGAUAUAUUGUUGAUACCCUUUACUGUCACUACUUACUGAGAACCUUGCAUUGCUGAAUUAAAGAUGACACUUCUAGUUCAAUCACAAACAAUUUGGCAUGAACCAUGCUACCACCCUAUGGCGUUAAGAGCAGCUGACCAACUUGGUUCGCAUGAGCGAAGGAUAGCUCUGGUAAGUUUGUUCAGUCAUUUAUGGAAGCUGAGAACUUUUUAACCCAGAGCACAAGCAAACUUCGAUUCUGUUGAUUUGAUUUGAGGUCUUUUCAUGUGUUCCC